rnacentral:rRNA from 1 species
CCCUAUGGGGUGCAGCAGGCACUUCGGGACAGCGAAAAACGCUGGCAAUUCGCCCUAGAAGGGGCAGGCGACGGUGUCUGGGACUGGGACGCCACGACCAACCGCGUCCACUAUUCCAGGCAGUGGAAAACGAUGUUGGGAUACUCCGAGCAGGAGAUCGGAGACAACCUGGACGAGUGGGAGCGCCGCGUUCACCCCGACGACAAGGAUGGGGUGUAUAUCGAGAUCGGGCGUCAUUUCAGGGGCGAAACCGACAUCUACCAGAGUGAGCACCGCGUCCU